rnacentral:rRNA from 1 species
GCGAGAAAACUUUGCAAUGUGCGAAAGCACGACAAGGUUAAUCCGAGUGGUUUCUGCUAAAGAAACCUUUUGUCAGUCCUAGAAACACUAACGAAUAAGGGGUGGGCAAGUUCUGGUGUCAGCCGCCUCGGUAAAACCAGCACCUCAAGUGGUCAGGAUGAUUAUUGGGCCUAAAGCAUCCGUAGCUCGUUUUGUAAGUUUUCGGUUAAAUCCAUGCGCUUAACGUAUGGGCUGCCGGGAAUACUGCAUAACUAGGAAGUGGGAGAGGUAGACGGUACUCGGUAGGAAGGGGUAAAAUCCUUUGAUCUAUUGAUAACCACCUGUGGCGAAGGCGGUCUACCAGAACACGUUCGACGGUGAGGGAUGAAAGCUGGGGGAGCAAACCGGAUUAGAUACCCCCGUAGUCCCUGAGCGGGCUGGCAAGGCGCAU